rnacentral:rRNA from 1 species
ACUCCUACGGGAGGCAGCAGUGGGGAAUAUUGCACAAUGGGCGCAAGCCUGAUGCAGCAACGCCGUGUGAGUGAAGAAGGUUUUCGGAUCGUAAAACUCUGUCCUAAGGGAAGAAACAAAUGACGGUACCUUAGGAGGAAGCCCCGGCUAACUACGUGCCAGCAGCCGCGGUAAUACGUAGGGGGCAAGCGUUAUCCGGAAUCACUGGGGCGUAAAGGGUGCGUAGGCGGCUUAGCAAGCCAGGGGUGAAAGGCAUUGGCUCAACCAAUGUAAGCCUUUGGAACUGUUAAGCUUGAGUGCAGGAGAGGUAAGUGGAAUUCCUAGUGUAGAGGUGAAAUUCGUAGAUAUUAGGAGGAACACCAGUGGCGAAGGCGACUUACUGGACUGUAACUGACGCUGAUGCACGAAAGCGUGGGUAGCGAACAGGAUUAGAUACCCUGGUAGCACAGAGC